rnacentral:rRNA from 1 species
CUAACGUUUGGGGGAUGGGCUGCGUUCCAUUAGCUAGUUGGUAGGGUAACGGCCUACCAAGGCGACGAUGGAUAGCUGGUCUGAGAGGAUGAUCAGCCACACUGGGACUGAGAUACGGCCCAG